GGUCGAUACCCAAGCGGACCACAGAAAAAAAAGCCGAGAUAGAAAUUCAGCCAUGCGCGAUCCUUGUGCGACCGGUUUUGUUGUUGUGAGAGCAUGAAUAGAGGGCGUUGUGCUGCUGUUGAUGUUUUGGUCCAGUCAACAACUGCAGCAUGAAGAUAGCGAACGCCUGCGCUUCAGGUGCGAUCAAAAAAAUAUAAAAAGUUUAUCUUUAUCAUCCACAUUUAGUCUUUGAAAGCACCCGCACGGCCGCGCACAUAAUAACAAUCAGACGCCGCCCCAAAACCGGUCCCAGUCCGUUUAUUUCCACAUGGCUAUAUCUACAUCUUGAUAUGGCCGAGACGGAGCUUGACAAUUAUAAAUGCACAUAAACAUUCAAGUACCUGCUGGGCAACUUUUUCCAUUUGGUAUGUAUCCCCCACAUGCCCACUCGAACUCUAUUAACACACUACAGCAGAGGGCAGUGGCUUCGACAUUCUUAUUGAAAGCCUGGCGACAACAAUCCUCGUCAGCCUACGUGACUUGUGCUUCUCCACCCAGAGAGGUGUACGUGUGUGUAUGUGUGUGUGUACGUGUGUGUGUAUACGUGUGUGUGAGAGAGAGAGAGUGGGCAUGAGCACAGAAUGAGUAAUAGUCUAUCUGACUGACAGCACUGCCUGCCUGAUGUUUGUUCAAGCAGCCACGUCGUGAGAUCACUGACGACCACGUAGUUGAACGUCCUGACGUCAGUCUGAACGUUGUCGUGUAGACAGUAGGUCAAAGUGGAACCACCCAGUACAGGAGGAGCGUCAUGUUUUAGUACCCGUCUCAUUUUUGCUCAUAAAAAUCGCCGCUUUUGCGUUCUUAACCGCGAACAAAGACUUCCUACAGACUGAUACCUCAAGACAAAACAGCGAGACGGCACGUGAUACACACACACACACACGCUUACACGUGCACUUUCAGAUAAAAAUAGAUGCCCACCGACAAGACGAAAACGGUAAAAUUAUCUCCCUAGGCCAACAGCUCAACACUUCAAAUAUUUUGGACAGAAAAUAUGGCUUCUGUCUAUUCACAGCCUCACAAGCGCACAACGAUUAUCACCCCCCUAGUUCCCCCCGGCACGUCACUAACCGCCGAAAGAUCGGCUUGGCUGCUCAAAUAUAUCAAAUAUUGGCCUCAGAUUCCUGCAGCGCCCCCCACUGACAAGACCAACCCUUCCAGUGGAUAUAGGGUCGGUCUCGCUUGGCCGAUUUUCACUUGGUCGUCUUUACAAACUGGCAACAUGAGCUUGACACGCCCCUCACCGUCCUGCCCCCAUCUCCGCUCAACAAGAAGACAGGUGUUCAUACCCGGUGUUCUUGUCUCGGGUACGACGCCGUUGAAGCCUGAAGUCUGUCAUGCAGCCAGUGUGCGCACGUCACCAGCCCCAGCAGACGACAUCGAGCGACCUCGUCACGCCGACAGACGAGACCAUCGUCAGCGUGACGGCAGCCACUGGCACCGACUGGCAUCGUCAACUGGCGAAUGGCAACAACACACGUACAGCACAUCGAUUGGCAGGCAACUGUCUGAUGUCAUAGCAAUAGAAGAGGACACAAAGGAUCCACCAGAGGAAAUUACCUGUUCCUACAAGUGUACAGAAUCCUUAAUAAAGUACAAUCAACACCUGACCAGUGAAGCAUUUUGACCAGACAAAGCAUCUGUUAGUGAAUGGGAUUCAGUUUUCGACGGCUGGCUACAGUGAAAAGAAAUAUGGCUUCGACAACAGUGUGCACACACUUUAAUCUGAACAUGUUUGUCAAGGCUGCUAACUCCACACAAUCAGGAGAAACAGUGUUUGUUCAAAACAUGGCAAAAGAAACAAAAACUGGUCACCGUCCAAAGUAGAAGUUACAGCCACAGUUGUGCUCUCCUGUUCUGGUGAAUGCUUAAGGUAAGAUGUGUAUGUCUACACUAAGUUUUCUGAACCCAUGUACUUGUGUAUUUGAGCAGUGUGUAUAUGUUUACACUGUUUUCUGAACCUAAGUUCUUGUGUUAUUGUAAACAUUUCAGCAAUGUGUGUAUGUCUUUGCUAAGUUUUCUGAACCCAUGUACUUGUGUAUUUGAGCAAUGUGUGUUUCCUGCCAGUGUCAUUAAAGUAUACAUAUACAAACAAGACUAGGGUCUUUGCUUGACCCAAAACAUCCCAUAGCCCACAACUUACUUCUAGUAAGAAGUAUGAGAGACAUUAUUACAGUAAUAUUUUCUACUGCUCUUUACAUUUCACCGCUCAAGGGCUGAUGUCUACUUGCACAUAUACACAUAUACACAGGCUCUGUACAUGCGAAGAUGACAGUGUAUAGAAGCAGAUUAAUAUCACAUACAUCACCAAGAUCAAUAUCAGAUUAAAACUGCAUCAUUAUUAUAUGCCUGUUAUUAAUGCAUCCAAUGUGCUGCAUUCAGGUAUCAGGUCUACCUCCAAAAAUAUCUGGAAUGUGCACACUUAUCAAUAUGCAUCCCUUCUUUGGUGAAUUCAUAAGUUUGUAUAGAGGACACAGCUUAUUUGGAUUAACACAAAGGUAACUGAGAAAUACAAAAA